rnacentral:rRNA from 1 species
GAUGAACGCUGGCGGCGUGCUUAACACAUGCAAGUCGAACGAUGAAGCCCAGCUUGCUGGGUGGAUUAGUGGCGAACGGGUGAGUAACACGUGAGUAACCUGCCCUUAACUCUGGGAUAAGCCUGGGAAACUGGGUCUAAUACCGGAUAGGAGCGUCCACCGCAUGGUGGGUGUUGGAAAGAUUUAUCGGUUUUGGAUGGACUCGCGGCCUAUCAGCUUGUUGGUGAGGUAAUGGCUCACCAAGGCGACGACGGGUAGCCGGCCUGAGAGGGUGACCGGCCACACUGGGACUGAGACACGGCCCAGACUCCUACGGGAGGCAGCAGUGGGGAAUACUGCACAAUGGGCGCAAGCCUGAUGCAGCGACGCCGCGUGAGGGAUGACGGCCUUCGGGUUGUAAACCUCUUUCAGUAGGGAAGAAGCGAAAGUGACGGUACCUGCAGAAGAAGCACCGGCUAACUACGU